ACAGCGCGUCAGUGGAAUAUCAGACCGCGGGCUCAAAGCAUUGUGUGGAAUCAUUUAUUCCGUUAAGUAAUAAAAACAGACAAACCGUUUAUAUCUGUGUUACAGGUGUGUUGUCUUCACACGCAGCAGCAGCAGCUUCUCCUCGAGGAGGAUCAUCCAGACUGAACAGUCAGUCAUGCAGUCCUGCAGUUCUGCUCUCUGUAUCCUGAUCUUACUGAUCAUUACAUUCACUACUGUGUCUGUAUCAGCUGAUCCUCCAGUGAAGGUGAAUCUUCAUGACUCUGCUACUCUGCCCUGCUCUGAGAGAUGCUCUGGUUUGGUCAGAUGGACUGUGUUCACUAAACCCACUGACACUCUGGCUGAGUGUGAUCAGACUUCAUGUAGAUCAGUGAAGGAGGGAUAUCAGAUGAUCCAUGAUCAGUACCUGAAGGGGAAUCUCUCUCUCACCAUCACUGAAGCUGAUUUCACUAAGAGAGGCUGGUACACGAGUGACUGUGAUGAUAAAGAUCUCUGUGAUGUGCGUCUUCAGAUUGAGCCCCUGAGUACUGCAGUUCAGAUAAAGUCUGGUGAUUCUCUGGUGCUGAAGCUGGACAUAUCAGAUCCAGUGGAGGUGAUUUAUAACAGUACAGGUACAGUUGGACCAUCCAGUGGUCAGAUCUGUACAGUGGAUAGACAUUCAACGUGGUGUAAAGAUGAAUACACACAGAGAGCGUCUCUAACAUCUGUUUUUGAGCUGAGAAAUGUGACUCCAUCUGACAGUGGAGUUUAUACUGUAAUGGACAAAAGGAAUGAAGAGGUCAUUCACAUCUACACAGUGACUGUGGGGUCAGCAGGGGGAAGAGGUGACCAUCCAGAUCUGGACACAGAUAUAGGAGCUGCUGUACCAGUGUCUGUGACUGUACUGACACUGAGUGUGUUGGGUGUGACGCUGAUUGUAUUUGUAGCUGUGAUUGUGAUGUCAGUCGUGGCAAACAAGCGGCAGAGGAGAGAAAAGCGGCCGUCCCAGGAUGAAGGGUGAUAGGUAAAAGUUCAAAGUGAUUGGCUCUCUGGAGUUUGGUCCGCGGCUCCAGCAGCACGAGCCUCCGGGUGUCUGAGCCCAAUCCCUGAACAUCGCGAGCCUCCAGCAGCAUAAAUACUCCGGGCAACCAGCAGUGCAGACACUUCUCGUGUGGAGGAGCUGCGGUUUGUCUUCAGUGCCUGCAGAACAGGAGCUCUUCUGGAUCUCCGGUCUUCACCUCCAGCAGCGGCUCUCCGGAGUUUGGUCCGCGGUUUGGUCCGGAGUUUCCACCUGCAGGCUGUGUUGAGUCUCCACCGUCUGCUCAGCCAUGCAGCUCUUCAGCUUCUGGGUCCUAACAGUCCUGACUGCAGUCCUAUCAGCAGGUCAGCAGACACUGGCUAACUUCAUCAAAACCACAUGGAAGGAUCUGAAUGACCCGGCCACUCUGUUCUGUCCAGAGCCCUGUUCAGGGGUGGAGACCUGGGAGAGGAGUGGACUGAAAGUGGCCAAAUGUGGAGUUAAAGAAGUCCGAGUUCAGCUGUGAGAGACACCUGGACCAGAGUAGCCUCACCGUUCCUCAGGUUAAUUACACCACCAGAGGAUUUUAUCUCACCAAAUGUAGCGGAGAAGUGAUCUGCUUCCAGAACCUCCAGCCCAACCCUCACAGCUCUUCUGUUGAAGUACCAGCUGGAGAUCCCCUCAUCUUGGACCUGUUCCAUCCAGUGAGGAUCUGUAACCCCUGUCCAGAUGUGCACUGUGGAUGGACGUUCCGUGCUCUGUAAUGCGGGGUAUGAAGACAGAGUGUCAGUGUGUGGUAACUCCAUGGUGCUGAGAGACGUGGUGUCUGCUGACUCUGGAGUCUACACGGUGCGAGCGGUCAAGGAUGGAGCGGCUCUCAUACGGACAGUGUCGGUCACUGUUAAACAUGCUCAGCAGAGCUGGAUGUGGAAGGAUGAAUAUCAGAAGGGAUUGAAAAUCGGAGCACUGGGAUUUGGGAUUGGAGCGCUGGUUCUUGGUGUGAUUCUGGGGUUCUAUGCUGUGCCGAGGGGGCUUUAUCUGAUGGACAGAUGUUUCCAGAGGCUCAGAAGACGAGACUCCUCACGCGUGAAUCAAACUGAGGAUGUGGAAAAGAGUGUUCCCCUGACAUGAGGGAAUACCAGCCAGUGGAAUGACUGGGAUUUAUUGGAUCUCGGUACAAACAGAAUGAAUGACCCACAUAAUAGGGAAAUGACUUUAAAUCAAUUAUGACACUGAAAUUUACUUGUUUACUUAUUUUUAUGUCCCAAACGAGCUGAUGCUCUGAAGGCUACUCCACCCAUCUGAAGCUGGUUUCUUAUUCCCUGACUUCAUGUUCAAAUUUUCCUGUUCCACCUUAAAUGGUGAUCACUAGUGAAAGUAGAAACAUGGCUUAGGUCCUAAUUUGCUGGUCCAGCCAGUGUCUUUACCAUCCAGCAUUACAGCUCUUUAACUGGACCCCAGUUUCCAGAAUGCACUGGUGCUGCUGUUCCUGCAGGGUUUUAUUCUGUCUUUGUGAAAGUGCUGAGUGUGAAGUGUUUUUAAAGGUAUGAGAGCUUUUUAUGGCUUUUAUUUAUCUGCUAUUUAUUACUGUUAUACUCCUCUGUAUGAAAUAAAGUGUGUAUUAUCCCAUGA